rnacentral:lncRNA from 1 species
CAUAAUCCAUACAACAUAUAUAUAACAUCCGUAAUUCAUACAGUACAUAACACAUCCGUAAUCCAUACAUCAUAUAUAUAACAUCCUUAAUCCAUACAUCAUAUAUAUAACAUCCUUAGUCCAUACAGCAUAUAACACAUCCAUAAUCCAUACAUCAUAUAUAUAACAUCCUUAAUCCAUAGCACAUCCAUAUAAAUAGCAUAAUACAUAGAACAUCUAUAUAUAUAUAUAUAUAUAGCGUAAUCAUGUUUGGAGUUGAUCCGUCUACAGCUGGGUCAUAAUUUCGAAACUACCUCCGGAAUAUGGAGGCAGCCAUUUUGAAAUGGCGCCGGUGAGUAUAGCACCUGGACGUCCGUGGCAGAUAAUG